rnacentral:rRNA from 1 species
CUCGUAGGCUGUUCGGUAAGUCAGACGUGAAAGCCCUCGGCUCAACCGGGGAACUGCGUUUGAUACUGCCAGACUUGAGUGUCGGAGAGGGUGGCGGAAUUCCGGGUGUAGGAGUGAAAUCCGUAGAUAUCCGGAGGAACACCAGUGGCGAAGGCGGCCACCUGGACGACAACUGACGCUGAGGAGCGAAAGCGUGGGGAGCAAACA